UUCAUUUGCGUAAACUCAUUAUUGUAAUUGAUUAUUUCUAAUAUGAAGCUUGUAAAAUGUUUUCCAUUUGGUUUUGAAGGCCAAAUAUUUGGCUUGUGACAGGUCUAUGAAGAAAACAUGGAGAUUCAGGUGUUUGAUGAAAUUUACGACCAUUCUAUACAUAUUUAUUCCUAGAAUACAGGAAACAAUUUCACAAUUCGAUGAUCAUUUAUGUAUAGUGCAAUUGUCAGUGAAAAACUCCUUAAUAUUAUGGUUUAUGCAGAACCUAUUAAUUUUCUGAAGCAAAUUGUGCUACUAAUACACCUUGAAUUGGGUCUAUUUACCAUCAUGAUAAUCUUUACAACUCACUUGUUGAUCCACUUAGGAUUACAGUUGGUGCAUGCCUUCGAUGUAUCAGUCUUUGAGAGAAAAGCUUUGCAGUCCAUUACUGUCCGUUAACAACUUGUCACUUUUCCUUUUUCUCUCAGAUGUAUAAAUUGGAAACUUAAGUUGAGUAAUAAGGUAGAUUUUUGCAGUGAAUUUGGUCAUAACUUUCUCUUUAGAUUAUUUAGAAUGGUUAGGAUUUUUUUUUUUUAAUUUUGUCUAUCUCCACAUAACAUUUGGUCAAUUUGGCGAUGGCUGUUCUUUCCCGUUUGACACUUCUUUCCCUUGUAGAGAAACAUUGGUAAGAACAAAGUCAAAGCUGCCAUUAGAGCCCAUCAAGGCCAGCAGAUUGACAAAGUAAUGCUGCUGCACACUUAUAGUUCUGCUGCAGAGUAAGACACGUGUUGCGAUAGUCAUUCCUUUUAUUUUCCUUUACAGAUUAUGCAAGGACAUUGAAAUCUGUUCAAAUGCUCAGUAAAUAUAUCUAUUGCAUUCAAUUAGUGACUGUAAGUACUCCUAAAAUUUGAGUAAUAAUGAGUGAGCUUACCGGUUGUCCUCAGUCCAAUCACAUAUCAACGAUAAAAGACAAUCUGUGAGUCUGUCCCUUAAUGUAAUCUGUAGAAGUCCAUCCACAGUUUAUAUUUGAUCUCAUAUUUAUGUUUAGCAAAAGAAUUCACUGGUAUACAUUAGAGGAAGGAAAUAUCUAUUGUUAGAUUGAGAAAUGGCAACAUUGCUAUCUUGAAGCUUAUAUUUUAGACUCGACGUAUUAAUGUUGGAUAAAAAAUUUUAAAAUAUGACAAGCUUUUUAGUCAUACUUUUAUGUUCUUGAUUAGUAUGACAAAUAUCUUACUUCGUUACUCUGCUUUUGCUGUCAACUCUGUUGAAAUGGUGAUUUAUUCUGUCUUUAUUCAUCUGCACCUUCCUCUACUUAUUCUGACUUUUUAUUUAGCUCCAAAAGCGAGUUUCAUGGUGGCUAUGCACAGUGCUUCUUUGGAAGGAAGCUCCUGUUUGUAAAAAUUUGUUCUCUUCAUUCUUCAGUUUUGAUUACUAACUUUUACAAUCUUUUAAUUUAUCAUCCAGAUAUUUUAGAUGUUGGCCCCUAUUUCCUCUUUUGAUGAGCUGAUCAUUUGCCUUCAUGAAGGAGAUAAAUUACUGUGUGAGGGGACAAUCAAAAGUUGUGCACCCUUCUGCAGAAGUUUUGCCACCCUGUCAGACCAUUUCAACGUGAAACUAGGAUCCUCUUUCACAAUUAGGUAAACAACCAAGCUAACAGAGUCCCCAAUUAUAUUAAGCUCAGGAUGUUAUGUGGGUUUCUAAGCCAUCUUUUUCCAUCUGAGUUGGACUAACAUUGACUAUCUUAUAUGUAGAACAGGCAAGAAUCUUAAAUUUGUGACUUUUGUAUCUCAAGUAUGAUGUUUAUGCAGAUGUAAUUUAUUGAUCUACAUGAGCUACAACUUUUGUGACCAAUGAAGUUAGGGAAUCAGGAUUGCCAACCGAGCCCUGGAUAUAUCCGUAGCGUGUUUCAACAUGGUUCCAGUGUCCUGACUACUACAUGUUUGCAACAUUGGAAAUGUAGCACAGUGGAGCAUUUUUCCAUGAUCCAUUAUUGCCUUGAAAUAUUGGCAUUAUUGGAGGCACUUAUAGUUUUCACUGUGAUCUUGAAUUAACAGAAGGAAAUUUGAGCAGUUGGGUGAUGGAAGCUUCAUGGGUUGAACAUCUAAGAACCAAGGAGAAGUUAAAGCAGUGUCCUUCAUUAGGAGACUCUUCCAUGUGUCAGGCAGAAGCAUCAUCCUCUCCUCUGUGACAAUUGAGUCCCUCCAGAAUCUAUUUGUACUAAUAUUGAAGUUUAAAUGCACAAUCUUUUGUUUGUUCAUGAUUGAAAGCCCAUUGGUCUCUUUAGUAGGAUUGGGCUGAUGGCAUUCUGUCAGACGAUAGUGAUGAGGCAUUAUUGCCUGAGAUGGUAUAUAUGGGUUUCAUCUACAUGCAGGUCACUGAAGCAUACACUAUCUAAGAUCUGCUACCGGCUGGAGAUGCCUACACCUGUCGUCAGGAAUAGGGACAUUCAUAUUGGACGAAAGAAGCCUCUGUUUUCCAUCUCUACUAUGGAGUUAAACCAUGUGAAGAGCAUCAGUGUGCUGCUGAAUAUAUCAUCAUAUAACACUUGUUUCUUCCUCGUACUAGUAGAAAAACAUCUGUAGAAGAUGAAAUGGAUUCGCCAGAGGAGGAAUAUGAUUUCAGGACCUGUCAAAAAAUGAUGUCCAUCUGAAGCCACAGACAGCUCUUUGAAUACGGUAUCAAUCAAUCAAUCCAGAGCCAUCAACGAAUGCUGGCCUGCACAUGGCUCACCUGGUCAUCAUCCGACAUGAUAUCUUCCUGAUGAUACGGGGAGGAUUGCUAGUCCUGAAAACUCGAUCAUGCUUGCCCUGUAAUUGUGAGCUUCCUACAGGCAGCUCGUCAUCUAAAAGCCAUCCUAUCCUAUCCUUCGCAGCCCAAGUUAAGACACUCGAAGAAGAUUAGCGCUACUGGGGAAGAGAGAGAAUCUAGCUUAUUUUUCCUGGAACUUGUGAUCUUUUUAUGGAGCUUAUAGUUUGCUGUUUCCGGUGCAGCCCCACUCGCUGAUACAACUCUUCUUUCUUCCCCGGAGAACAAAAGGAGGAGACCGACUGUGCUGGUAGAAUAAAAGCCGCAUGGCCCGAGUCACAUCAUAUGACUGUCGUCGUCUUCACUUCACUGCCUUCCCUUCAUUCAUGCGCUUCGACUUGAGGUACUUCCAAAAGGUCGUACGUUCGACGUCGAGACUUCCAAUUUCAUUUAUAGUUCGAAUUUAUGACAAUUAUUGUAUUCGAAUCGAUGGCCGAUAGUGGGUGGUAUUCGCAUCUAUUCACAUCGUCCACAUCAUGCGUGAAGAUUCUCAUUAUCAUGUUGAUCUAUAAUCAAAUGUGUUUUUUGAAUGAUUAGUUAA